rnacentral:rRNA from 1 species
AUUGAACGCUGGCGGCAGGCCUAACACAAGCAAGUCGAGCGGAUGAAGGGAGCUUGCUCCUGGAUUCAGCGGCGGACGGGUGAGUAAUGCCUAGGAAUCUGCCUGGUAGUGGGGGAUAACGUCCGGAAACGGGCGCUAAUACCGCAUACGUCCUGAGGGAGAAAGUGGGGGAUCUUCGGACCUCACGCUAUCAGAUGAGCCUAGGUCGGAUUAGCUAGUUGGUGGGGUAAAGGCCUACCAAGGCGACGAUCCGUAACUGGUCUGAGAGGAUGAUCAGUCACACUGGAACUGAGACACGGUCCAGACUCCUACGGGAGGCAGCAGUGGGGAAUAUUGGACAAAGGGCGAAAGCCUGAUCCAGCCAUGCCGCGUGUGUGAAGAAGGUCUUCGGAUUGUAAAGCACUUUAAGUUGGGAGGAAGGGCAGUAAGUUAAUACCUUGCUGUUUUGACGUUACCAACAGAAUAAGCACCGGCUAACUUCGUG